rnacentral:rRNA from 1 species
GGGUUGUGAGGUUAAGCGACUAAGCGUACACGGUGGAUGCCCUGGCAGUCAGAGGCGAUGAAGGACGUGCUAAUCUGCGAUAAGCGUCGGUAAGGUGAUAUGAACCGUUAUAACCGGCGAUUUCCGAAUGGGGAAACCCAGUGUGUUUCGACACACUAUCAUUAACUGAAUCCAUAGGUUAAUGAGGCGAACCGGGGGAACUGAAACAUCUAAGUACCCCGAGGAAAAGAAAUCAACCGAGAUUCCCCCAGUAGCGGCGAGCGAACGGGGAGGAGCCCAGAGCCUGAAUCAGUGUGUGUGUUAGUGGAAGCGUCUGGAAAGGCGCGCGAUACAGGGUGACAGCCCCGUACACAAAAAUGCACAUACUGUGAGCUCGAUGAGUAGGGCGGGACACGUGGUAUCCUGUCUGAAUAUGGGGGGACCAUCCUCCAAGGCUAAAUACUCCUGACUGACCGAUAGUGAACCAGUACCGUGAGGGAAAGGCGAAAAGAACCCCGGCGAGGGGAGUGAAAAAGAACCUGAAACCGUGUACGUACAAGCAGUGGGAGCCUCUUUUAUGGGGUGACUGCGUACCUUUUGUAUAAUGGGUCAGCGACUUAUAUUCUGUAGCAAGGUUAACCGAAUAGGGGAGCCGAAGGGAAACCGAGUCUUAACUGGGCGUUAAGUUGCAGGGUAUAGACCCGAAACCCGGUGAUCUAGCCAUGGGCAGGUUGAAGGUUGGGUAACACUAACUGGAGGACCGAACCGACUAAUGUUGAAAAAUUAGCGGAUGACUUGUGGCUGGGGGUGAAAGGCCAAUCAAACCGGGAGAUAGCUGGUUCUCCCCGAAAGCUAUUUAGGUAGCGCCUCGUGAAUUCAUCUCCGGGGGUAGAGCACUGUUUCGGCAAGGGGGUCAUCCCGACUUACCAACCCGAUGCAAACUGCGAAUACCGGAGAAUGUUAUCACGGGAGACACACGGCGGGUGCUAACGUCCGUCGUGAAGAGGGAAACAACCCAGACCGCCAGCUAAGGUCCCAAAGUCAUGGUUAAGUGGGAAACGAUGUGGGAAGGCCCAGACAGCCAGGAUGUUGGCUUAGAAGCAGCCAUCAUUUAAAGAAAGCGUAAUAGCUCACUGGUCGAGUCGGCCUGCGCGGAAGAUGUAACGGGGCUAAACCAUGCACCGAAGCUGCGGCAGCGACGCUGAUGCGUUGUUGGGUAGGGGAGCGUUCUGUAAGCCUGUGAAGGUGUACUGUGAGGUAUGCUGGAGGUAUCAGAAGUGCGAAUGCUGACAUAAGUAACGAUAAAGCGGGUGAAAAGCCCGCUCGCCGGAAGACCAAGGGUUCCUGUCCAACGUUAAUCGGGGCAGGGUGAGUCGACCCCUAAGGCGAGGCCGAAAGGCGUAGUCGAUGGGAAACAGGUUAAUAUUCCUGUACUUGGUGUUACUGCGAAGGGGGGACGGAGAAGGCUAUGUUGGCCGGGCGACGGUUGUCCCGGUUUAAGCGUGUAGGCUGGUUUUCCAGGCAAAUCCGGAAAAUCAAGGCUGAGGCGUGAUGACGAGGCACUACGGUGCUGAAGCAACAAAUGCCCUGCUUCCAGGAAAAGCCUCUAAGCAUCAGGUAACAUUGAAUCGUACCCCAAACCGACACAGGUGGUCAGGUAGAGAAUACCAAGGCGCUUGAGAGAACUCGGGUGAAGGAACUAGGCAAAAUGGUGCCGUAACUUCGGGAGAAGGCACGCUGAUAUGUAGGUGAAGUCCCUCGCGGAUGGAGCUGAAAUCAGUCGAAGAUACCAGCUGGCUGCAACUGUUUAUUAAAAACACAGCACUGUGCAAACACGAAAGUGGACGUAUACGGUGUGACGCCUGCCCGGUGCCGGAAGGUUAAUUGAUGGGGUCAGCGCAAGCGAAGCUCUUGAUCGAAGCCCCGGUAAACGGCGGCCGUAACUAUAACGGUCCUAAGGUAGCGAAAUUCCUUGUCGGGUAAGUUCCGACCUGCACGAAUGGCGUAAUGAUGGCCAGGCUGUCUCCACCCGAGACUCAGUGAAAUUGAACUCGCUGUGAAGAUGCAGUGUACCCGCGGCAAGACGGAAAGACCCCGUGAACCUUUACUAUAGCUUGACACUGAACAUUGAGCCUUGAUGUGUAGGAUAGGUGGGAGGCUUAGAAGUGUGGACGCCAGUCUGCAUGGAGCCGACCUUGAAAUACCACCCUUUAAUGUUUGAUGUUCUAACGUUGACCCGUGAUCCGGGUUGCGGACAGUGUCUGGUGGGUAGUUUGACUGGGGCGGUCUCCUCCUAAAGAGUAACGGAGGAGCACGAAGGUUGGCUAAUCCUGGUCGGACAUCAGGAGGUUAGUGCAAUGGCAUAAGCCAGCUUGACUGCGAGCGUGACGGCGCGAGCAGGUGCGAAAGCAGGUCAUAGUGAUCCGGUGGUUCUGAAUGGAAGGGCCAUCGCUCAACGGAUAAAAGGUACUCCGGGGAUAACAGGCUGAUACCGCCCAAGAGUUCAUAUCGACGGCGGUGUUUGGCACCUCGAUGUCGGCUCAUCACAUCCUGGGGCUGAAGUAGGUCCCAAGGGUAUGGCUGUUCGCCAUUUAAAGUGGUACGCGAGCUGGGUUUAGAACGUCGUGAGACAGUUCGGUCCCUAUCUGCCGUGGGCGCUGGAGAACUGAGGGGGGCUGCUCCUAGUACGAGAGGACCGGAGUGGACGCAUCACUGGUGUUCGGGUUGUCAUGCCAAUGGCACUGCCCGGUAGCUAAAUGCGGAAGAGAUAAGUGCUGAAAGCAUCUAAGCACGAAACUUGCCCCGAGAUGAGUUCUCCCUGACCCUUUAAGGGUCCUGAAGGAACGUUGAAGACGACGACGUUGAUAGGCCGGGUGUGUAAGCGCAGCGAUGCGUUGAGCUAACCGGUACUAAUGAACCGUGAGGCUUAACCUUACAACGCCGAAG